CAAGGACUAUCUGCCGUCUCAUCAGGACGUGCCUGGCUUGAAUUUAUUUAAAGCCCCACCAGCUGCCUCAGCUUGCCUAGAACAAUCCCACCACAGCCAGCAAUCUGGAGAAGUACGUGAGGGCUGAUUUUUUCCCUGCAGGUGAAUCUCUUACUCUCCAAUUACCUUUCCCAAGAGGGAGAAGGAGCGAGGCGAGAGGGGGCAAAGUCUUGCUGUGUAUUAAAAGCAGACCAAUCAGAGGUGGAAUAACACAGGGGGACUGCUGCAGGACGCGGUUAAUUUUUCCUCCUUCUCUGCUUGCAAGGCUGAAUCGGGACCUUCACUGAUCUAGCAAAGGGGCGAAAGCUGCGCUGUCCUUUUUUAGCAUAUAAAACUUACAUCUCUCCUUUAUAAACAAUCCUUUUAAAUUGUGCACAAGAAACACCCUCCCCCCUCCAAAGCGCCCCCCCUCCCGCACCUGGUUGCCGGAUCCCUGUUUUAUUUCAAGAUACAAUCCUAGAGGAGGGGGGGAAAACCCUCAAACAGCAAAUUUAAAACACCGCCCCGCCUCGAACAAAUCAAUGCCAGUGGAUGCCGGAGAAGGAUUGGGAUUUUGUAAGCGAUGCAAGGGCUAUAAGGCUGGAGUUUCCCCCCGGAACCUGAAGGAGGAUCGCUAGGCGUUUCCAAAAGGAAGCGGGGCUGCAGGAUGAAUAAGAGAUACUUACAGAAAGCAACAAAAGGAAAACUGCUAAUAAUAAUAUUUGUUGUAACACUCUGGGGGAAAUUAGCAUCUGGGGCAAACCACCACAAAGCUCACCAUGUUAAAACUGGAACCUGUGAGGUGGUGGCUCUUCACAGAUGUUGUAAUAAGAACAAGAUAGAAGAAAGGUCACAGACAGUCAAGUGCUCCUGCUUUCCUGGGCAGGUAGCAGGUACCACCCGAGCAGCUCCUUCUUGUGUUGAUGCUUCAAUAGUGGAACAGAAAUGGUGGUGCCACAUGCAACCAUGUCUUGAAGGGGAGGAAUGUAAAGUUCUUCCAGAUCGGAAAGGAUGGAGCUGUUCCUCUGGAAAUAAAGUGAAAACAACUAGGGCAAACGUGUAAAACUCUUCAAAUCCGAAUGGAGAAGUAGAAAAAGGAGGUUUCUGCUGUGCCUGAUGACAAUUUUUGAUUUUUCCACACACACAAAAUAUCCUGGCUCCACGCUGGAGCAUUAGUUGUGAUGAAUCCUAGGCUUGGUCGGAUUCUAAGGAAGGGCCAGAAGGUUCGUUGAGGAAUAAAGAGUCAAAACCACUCCAGAAAUGUGUUCCAGCCCUGGUUUAUUACUCACACAGCAGCAGGUAACCCGAUAGCUAAAGACAACUCAAGUCUGUCUCAAGGCUGAUAAUGCUAACAGAACAGGAAUUUCAUACCUCCCUCCAGGCAAUCCUUGAAGUGAGUUUACACUGCUGGGGUGCAUUGGCUUGUAAUCAGCAACAGCUUGAGAUCAAAACUACUGGAAAGUCAUUGUGAACUUUUCUGUCACAGAUUUCAACUGAUUGAACUAUGUACACUUACAAAAUUGCACUUGCUGAGGAAUUUAUGGCUGCAAUCUAAAGCGCUGAUGCUCAGAGGGUGUAGAAGAGGCAGCAAUCUUUUGGGUUCUCCAUUCCAGACUGACGGCUUUUCAUCUUUACAAAAGCAGUCUUCGAAAUGUAGUGGUUCUUUCACUCUGAAGUGUUCCGUGGUUCUAUGUACAAAUUGCUGGUGGGACUGCACGCUACUUUAAUCAAAUUUAUGUUGCAGAACUUGUCCUUUGGCAUAGCGCAGUUUUAGACAUUUUUAUUUGUAUUUCUAAUCUUGGAUCUCUGAAAGGCUACAUGUUUCAACAUCUUGAAGUUGCUUUUGUUAUAGGAAUGGAAAUAUAUAUCCAUUGUUAAUAAUUAUUGUUGACAAGUAAUAGUUAUCGGAAUACAUCAAUCAUAUAAGAAUGUAUAGCCAGCCUGACAUGUUUCCCUAAGGCUAACCAACUACUGUAGCUCUUUGCCAGUUUCAUUGUAAGUAUUUUAUACCUUUAAAAAUAUACAUUUCCAUUUAGUUUGAAGAUGAUGGGUCUUUCUGGUAUGUCCUUUACUUUCUUAACUUUAAGUCCUUUCAAGUUGACUGUAAGCGGUAAAUGACAUUAGUUAGUCCCUUUUUGUAAAGGUAGACAGGGAUGCAUGCAAGUUUUACAAUUCUGAGAUUGGAUGUCAUUCAUUCAGAGUUUCUUUUAGCUAUUUAUUUUUUUAAACUAUCUCUUGCUUGAACACAAGUACUAUCUGGAUGCUCAUGUAGAUGUCUGCUCAGUUUGUUAAUAGAGGAAAAAAAUCUUUUGCCCCCAAAUCUGAAGUCCAGGUGUUCUGGGGCCUUUCCAUAGUCAUUUCCCCAAAUUAACAUUUAUUUUCCUAUUUUCUGUUUCCGUAGCAAAUUUUUGUGAUGUACUGUUCUAUGAAACCCUUAAUAUUUAAAGGCCUUAAACAUAUAUGAAUUUUGUUUCUAAGUUAUUACAGAAUGUAUAAUUUAAUACUCCAUUUAAUAUAUUCAGUACCACUGUUGAUACUAAGAUAAAGGAACCCUGAUAAUUCAUUGUUGUACUGUAUUGAUGCUGCAUAAGCAUGCUGACUGGAGAGAGAGAGUGAGAGUUAUAUAGUAUGCUUUAUUGUCUAAAUAGAGACAAAGACCACAGCAACUUAGACCUAGUGAAAAUAUUUGUUUGGGCAGUCCCAUUCAAACAGCCUGCAUGGUUACCGGUAUUUUUAAAAAAGCGAGGGGAAGUCCUUUUAUAGUUACAAUCCAUUGACAUGGCUAAUUAGAUAUAAAUUGGGUUCCAUGAUAGAUGAACUCACUGGAGUGUUCGGGUUAGUCACAGUAUCCUAGGCUCUUCCAAGAAUAUUUCAUUAAAUCUCCCGUGUUAUUGCACAAGAGAGCUAAAAAUUAAUGAUUGUUGGGAAUAAUUUGAGAUGUACAUUUCAUCAUUCUGCUGAGAAAUAAUCAAAAAUAUUGGCAGGGAAAGAUAUUCUUUUCUGAUUAAAAUUUAAUUUGGAUAAACUGUAGCACCACUAGCUAUCUCAGUUUUUUCAAAUGCAUUAAUAUUGUAUGGAUUUGUGCUAAAAGAGCAUCUUAAGGAGAAAGUAAUUCCUUUGUUUGGAACAGUACAAAUUAUAAAUGUGUUAUUUUGUAGAAUAUUAGUUUGGCCUUAAUUUGGUCAAAAUACUGUAUCAUGCUUCUCAAGAUUUGUUUCCUUUGACUUUGUUCUCUGAAUCAACACUGAAAAUACUGUAUUAUAUACAAGUGUAACACAUGCUUAUCAAUAGGUGAAAAUAAAUGGAUUUUCAAAUAUA